AUAAAAUUUCUUAAAAAAAAAAAAAAAAAUCUGUUCUUAACAGUUUUAUCUCUGAUACAUCCCCUACCCGAGGACCAUAUAUUAAAUUGAUUUUUGCAACAGGGAGCUGGAAUAGGGGCUUCCUCCACCCACUCCAUGCAUCAACCUGGUUUUGCAGUACUUCCUGGAACCGUGCAACCCUU
ensembl:snRNA U2 U2 spliceosomal RNA